GUGUCAGCCGCCGCGGUAACACGUAGGAGACGAGCGUUAUCCGGAUUUAUUGGGCGUAAAGAGCAUGUAGGCGGGCUCUUAAGUCGGAUGUGAAAUCUCUUGGCUUAACCGGGAGGGGUCAUUCGAUACUGGGAGUCUUGAGGGCAGGAGAGGGAAGUAGAAUUCCCGGUGUAGUGGUGGAAUACGUAGAUAUCGGGAGGAAUACCAGUGGCGAAAGCGGCUUCCUGGCCUGUGCCUGACGCUGAGAUGCGAAAGCGUGGGUAGCAAACGGGAUUAGAAACCCUCGUAGUCC
rnacentral:rRNA from 1 species